AGCUAGAUAGUGGAAGGCUUGGGCCCUAGAAUGAGGGGUAGGAGGAAGCCAGGCUAUUUCUCGGAAAGCCUGGACCAGCUUCUGUGCCAGAGAAAUUGACCGCUACAUUUCAUGUUUCCUGUUUCUUGACUGGAAAUACCUGUGCCCACGGACAGCAGAGACAACCCAACACUCAUGUCACACACAGUCUCUUGUCCCCUCGUGUGUCACACACGGUCACGUGCCCACAGACAGCGGAGACAACUCGACACUGACAAUACUGCCUUAACCCAGUGUUUUGUGAGACACCUCUUGGGAAGCUCUGAUUUACAGCACCCUGCACAACCCACCAGGCUUGCUGUGGUAAUUUCUGGCUUUCAGUUCUAUUUUGUUCAGUGAAAAGGUGAGACAAAUAAGGUGGUAUGAUUUCUGAGAAGACAAAAUGUUUGCUUUGCAUGUGUAAAAGUAAAAGAUG